rnacentral:rRNA from 1 species
GGGGAAUAUUGCACAAUGGGCGCAAGCCUGAUGCAGCGACGCCGCGUGGGGGAUGAAGGCCUUCGGGUUGUAAACUCCUUUCAUCAUCGACGAAGGGCUCAUUUGUUGUGGGUUUGACGGUAGGUGGAGAAGAAGCACCGGCUAACUACGUGCCAGCAGCCGCGGUAAUACGUAGGGUGCGAGCGUUGUCCGGAAUUACUGGGCGUAAAGAGCUCGUAGGUGGUUUGUCGCGUCGUCUGUGAAAUUCCGGGGCUUAACUCCGGGCGUGCAGGCGAUACGGGCAUAACUUGAGUGCUGUAGGGGAGACUGGAAUUCCUGGUGUAGCGGUGAAAUGCGCAGAUAUCAGGAGGAACACCGAUGGCGAAGGCAGGUCUCUGGGCAGUAACUGACGCUGAGGAGCGAAAGCAUGGGGAGCAAAC